AAGGUUACCUCCGCCCAACUCAAUCCGACUUGCCAAUUCAAGGUUGCAAUUCAAUUGCAAACAGGUUUGCAUUACUAUUACCGCUUUAUGUUCUUAAUAUGCAUGUGGCAUCAUGAUUGAAUUUAUAAAAAUAUCUUAAGUUUUGCAUGUGAAUUUAAGUAUCAUGAAUAUCUUGAAUGUUUAACCAUGUAAUCUCUGUAAUGGAUGCCAUAGGGUGUGAAGCUUGCUGAAAUUAUAC
rnacentral:lncRNA from 1 species